rnacentral:rRNA from 1 species
AACGCUGGCGGUAGGCUUAACACAUGCAAGUCGUGCGAGAAAGUAUCUUCGGAUAUGAGUAGAGCGGCGGACGGGUGAGUAACGCGUAGGAAUCUACCUAGUAGAAGGGGAUAGCCCGAGGAAACUCGGAUUAAUACCGUAUACCUCCUUCGGGAGAAAGAAGGCCUCUCAUUGAAGCUUUCGCUACUAGAUGAGCCUGCGUAAGAUUAGCUUGUUGGUGAGGUAAAGGCUCACCAAGGCAACGAUCUUUAGCGGGUCUGAGAGGACGAUCCGCCACAUUGGGACUGAGACACGGCCCAGACUCCUACGGGAGGCAGCAGUGGGGAAUAUUGGACAAUGGGCGCAAGCCUGAUCCAGCCAUACCGCGUGUGUGAAGAAGGCCCUAGGGUUGUAAAGCACUUUAAGUUGGGAAGAAAAGUUAUUGGCUAAUACCCAAUGACCGUGACAUUACCUUCAGAAUAAGGACCGGCUAAUUCCGUGCCAGCAGCCGCGGUAAUACGGAAGGUCCAAGCGUUAAUCGGAAUUACUGGGCGUAAAGCGCGCGUAGGUGGUUUAUUAAGUUGGAUGUGAAAUCCCCGGGCUCAACCUGGGAACUGCAUCCAAAACUGAUUCACUAGAGUACGAUAGAGGGAGGUAGAAUUCACAGUGUAGCGGUGGAAUGCGUAGAUAUUGUGAAGAAUACCAAUGGCGAAGGCAGCCUCCUGGAUCUGUACUGACACUGAGGUGCGAAAGCGUGGGUAGCGAACAGGAUUAGAUACCCUGGUAGUCCACGCCGUAAACGAUGUCAACUAGCUGUUGGGGAACUAUGUUCUUCAGUGGCGCAGCUAACGUAGUAAGUUGACCGCCUGGGGAGUACGGCCGCAAGGCUAAAACUCAAAUGAAUUGACGGGGACCCGCACAAGCGGUGGAGCAUGUGGUUUAAUUCGACGCAACGCGCAGAACCUUACCAACCCUUGACAUACUUGUCGCGGAUUCCAGAGAUGGAUUCCUUCAGUUCGGCUGGACAAUGUACAGGUGCUGCAUGGCUGUCGUCAGCUCGUGUCGUGAGAUGUUCGGUUAAGUCCGGCAACGAGCGCAACCCACGUCCUUAGUUACCAGCAUUUAGUUGGGUACCCUAAGGAGACUGCCGGUGAUAAGCCGGAGGAAGGUGUGGACGACGUCAAGUCAUCAUGGCCCUUACGGGUUGGGCUACACACGUGCUACAAUGGCAUCUACAG